CCUACCCACGUGAUCUACGGGACGAGCAGGACGGAGUUUCCCAGGUUCAGGUGGGGCGUUCAGAGGAGUCGGGGUCGGUCAAUGGAGAAGCGAUGUGGUGACCCGUUGUCACUUGUAAAACUUGUAAAAGCGCAGGCGGAUCGCGCACAGGAUAAAAACUUCUUAAAACUACCAUGGAAAAAUGCCGGUUGCUUCCCAGGUCGAUUCCGGUCCCAUUGAGUCCAGCAAUUGGGCCGGCGCCAGCGAUGCUCAGAGGGUGGAGCUGAGCGACGCGUCGAUUCUGGAUCACAGAGAUCUCAUUGC